AUCCAGCCGACGAGUCCCAAAUAGAACGAAACGCGUGUCCUGGAU
rnacentral:hammerhead_ribozyme from 1 species